rnacentral:lncRNA from 1 species
GUUGGAUUCUCAGCACCACACAUAAGUAAAUGAAUAAAAUAAAGGUCCAUUGAUAUCUAAAAAAAAAUUUUUAAAAAAUCAUCAGAGCAAUGAUAUGUGUGGGUGACUCUGCCCUACUUGUCUAAAUGGCCAAGGAGGUCCAGCUACCUACUCCUCUCCACUUCCCUGCACCCCAAUCCAUCAAUGGAUGAGUUUAUUAUUGUUAUUACCAGUCAUUAAUGAUGUGGUGAGUUUCCUUGCACUUUGAAAUACCUUCCAGAGUUCCUUUGGCCUUUAUUAUCUUUAUACUCACCUUUUACCCAUUUUAUAGAUGAGGGAACCUAAGCCUUGAGAUUCAAUCUGCAUUGCCAGCCUCAGUCUCUUGUCCCUGUUGGCUCUGAUUUUAUAUACAUCUCACUUCCUACCGUCCUAACAUUCUUGGUGGCCCGCAAGAGGUGGCAGAGGCCAUGGCCAAGAAAACACUCCCCACUAACACCGAGCUAGUUGCCCACCUUUCUGUUGUCCGACUCCACCAGCUCUGGGCAGAGAAGGAGGGAAGAAGGGGGAAGUAAUGAAAGGGGCCUUUGUGUGCCACACCGGAAAUCUCACACCCAGGAAGAAAGGUGGGCAGGGAUGGCAGGAGGCCUUAAUAGCAUGUGACAAAGGGAACUCUCUUGCUUGGCACACCUGCCAAAAUAGGGAGAGAGCAUUCCUCACACUCUGCUCUUUCAUGUUGUAGCAGGGCUGCUGCAGGGACCUGGGUUAGGUUUGGGCCUUGAGGUCACAGAGCAGACGAUCCCAUAUGGAGCACAGGAUGUGUGGUGUGCGCUGGGACAGGCCCAGAGCCCAUGUGGUGUUGUCCUUACAUUGUAGGGACUUGGAACCCUCAAUUUCCUUGUCUGGCAUGAAGCCUGACUCCUGUCCAGAAAUGGCAAGAGGAAGAAAUGAAGGAGACCCAGCAAGGAUGUGAAGAAGCCUGAACCUCCUUCCUACUCCUCCUCCUUCAGGAGCAACCUCUGCCUGCCUUCAGACCCAAGAUUCUGAUUCUACCUGCUUUUUUUGGCGGGGGAGGUGAAUACUAG